GAGGCGCCGCCGGCCUCGCUCUGCUGCAGGCUCAGCUCACCGAGGCACUCACGGGCCAGGGACUGCCCCAAGGACUCCUUCAAACUCUGUUCUUUAAAGCACCAGACCCAACCCCCGGUAGGAUAAAAAAGAUAUAGAGUACAGAAAUGACUGAAAGGCUGUCAGGAUGGGUCAGGAGAGCUGGCACUCCUAAUUUACUUUCCAAGAGGAAAGGACUUCUUGCAAUAGUCAGGGAAUUUGCAGAAAAUCUGAAUGAGACUUCUUGUCUUAUUUGAAGAAAAGCUUUCAUUCCCAAUCAACCAGGAUCCAAGAAUUUGUCUAAGAGAAGUUCAGACAUGGGAACUUCAGUGUAUCUGGGAUGCUGCUUACACCAUGGGCCGAUGCAGGCCAUAUCUUUACCAAUGUAGUCAUGGAAAUCAAUAACGAGAGGGAACUGAAAAACAACUACAUCAAAGCUGGAACUUCAGGCAAAGACUCCACUGAGAGAUGAAGUUAAAAAAGAUAAAAAAGAAAGCAGAUGAACAAAUGCUACAUGCCUUAAUUCUGGAAAUUGUAACAGCCCUGCCAGAAAAAAUACUAUUUUGCUGGUUAAGUGAGGCUGUGGAUACCCCUCCUUGUCCAAGCUGGCUCUACUGACUGGAGAUAACCCCAGCUGCUCAUUGUAAUCCUGUCUCCAUCCAUGGCUAUUCAAAUGAAAAUAAUCGUGCCACCGUUUCUGGGCCAUCUGGGUGAACUGAAACCAGAGACCUGGGUGGACUGAAUCCACUGGUCAUGCUAACAGCAAGUGUAAGAGGAAAGUAUCCCACAAUAUUCCUAACUGCAAAUGGGGAUGGCAACAGCGCCCAGCAAAGAGUAGGCAACUAAGAACCAAGAAUCCAACAGCACACUCAGCCUGUAGGGUUGUCAGAAAGCUUAUUUUAGGAUGGUGUGCUGCUAUGGUUCUUAGAGAACAGGAAUUUUUUUCUAGUGAAAACAGGUUGAAAGUAUUCCACAGACAGUAGUGUGAAAGAAUACGUUCAAAAAAACUGCAUUUAAUGAAUAUGCAAGAGGUUGUGCUGACACAUUUAACUCUGGCUGAUUUUGCAGUCUCUAUAUAUCCUGAAGAUCGCUUUUAUAUGGAAUAUAUGUCUAUGUGUGUGUAUAUAUAUAUAUAUUAUAUAUAUGUACACACACACAUGUAGUAUUUAAUAUAAUCUAACUCUUUUUCUAUAUCAAGGGCCAUGAAAAAAUCUUGGCGUCUUGUGAUGACAAAUAACAAAAAAACUCUCAGAACUAAUGCAUUUAAAUUGACUGAUAUAAAAUGGAGGCUUUUUUUUUUUAAAGGCUCUGAACAUUUUCAGCAGUGCAGACACUCUAAUUCAUGUUCUGUGCUUAACUAAUGGCAGCUGUAUUCUCCAAAAUUGUACAUUUGGUCCUGUCUUCCCACAUGCUCUUAACAGCUAACCAACAAAAGCUCUUAGGACUUAAAAAAAAGCCCUUCUGAGCUCAGGGAAAUAAAAAGGUUUUUACACUGUUACUGGUUGCAGGCCUUUUAUAAAUCAAUUUCUCAAAGCAAAGAAGCAAAUCUAAAUUUUUAAUUCUAACUAUGCAUGUGAUAAUUAUUAAUUAACUGAUGGACAGCAGUUGAGUGUUCAUGAUGUACUGAAUAUUAGUUCUGCAGAUGUCUCAUUUACAUUGCUUUCAACAUUCAGAUAUCAAAAUAAGUCAUUAAAACAACCAUUUUUAAUUAAUGAUAGAUGAUUUUAUAGGAGCCUUAAUUUUCUAGAGAACUGAUACUUAACAUUAGUGAUGCUAACGGGCAGACUAGUCAGAAGUUUCAGGGAUCACAAUUUUAUUUAUACAAUUAAGUUUUCAGUAGCUGAGUUUGAAAAUACUGUGUAACAUUUUUUUGGAGUGACAUGUCUAGGUGAGCAUACUCAAGACAGAUAUUUCUAAAAAAUGUUAACAACUGGGAGAAAUGCCCAUACCAAAGGGAGAGGAAGAAAUCCCCAUUUUUUCCAAAGGCAGCAAUUAGUAGGAAUUAUAUUUAUUCCAGUACUUGCUAUGUAAGGACAUGUAUUGGCACAUGUUGUUUUACUCUCGUGGUACUAAAAAAAUCCAAGAAACUAGCUUGCAGUGCAAACAGAAAAACUAUGUCAAUAACUAA